UAAACCCUCUGAUUCACCGUGUCUGCUCUAAAUGAUAACACACACUUUGAACACGGGCCUUCCAGCCAGGUGUUGUCCACAUGAACACCAAGGUGCCUAUAGGAGCAGAGCCGAUUAAUUGGUUCAUCAUUUAUGACCUCUGAUACCCUCUGACCCAUGUCACAACCAACUCCUCAAGCAACUCUAAUCUGU